CCCCCUCGCUCCUCCCGAGGAACCCUAAUCCCUUCGCUCCCCAUGACAGACUCCGACGCCGCGCUGCCAACACCGUCGCCGGAGGUGGUGGCCGCCGACUCCGCCGCGCAGGAGGGGGCCGCCGCGAGGGUGGUGAGGAGGACACUGGGUGCUCGACGAUGUCGCGAAGCGAGAUCUAGGCGGACUCGGGGAGGCCGCGGAUGAGGUCGAGCAUCUCACAGAGGAGGCCGGGUACGGCCGGGCUGGUACACCCACAGCUGUGGCGACGGCGUCUCCGGCCAAAUCAGUCCGUCUCCGCCAUAGUGGAGGCGUCCAUGAACCAGGUGGCCGGAAACUAGAUGCGCCUCUAUGAUUUGCCCUCCAAGCUGCUCUGCCGUGUGCUCAACGUCGAGCUCAAGGUUCCUCCUCUUCCUGCUGCAGGGAGGUGCUGGUGAGAUCUUCCUGCAACCACUGACUGGACACUAUGUCAGGUACAAUGUGGCCCAGGAUGUGAAUGUGAUGGGCGUGAAGCAUAUGUGCCAGUUGGCCAAAUAGUGCCCAAAUCUUGUGGUCGUCUCCAUGUCCUAACUGGUAAUCUUAUCAUCUGUUAAUGAUGAAGAAACUAAAACUAAAAAAGGUAAGGAGCGCCACAAUCUGAGUGCAUUUCUGCAGCGUCACAAUCUGAACUGUAGUAACUAAAUUAAUAUAUUGUCUUCCAAAUUAAAUAUUUCUUCUAACCUUUAAUAUAUUGUGCUCCACCUGUCUAUAAUGUCAUGGCUACUCUUUCAUUGUGUUACAGGCAAGGCGUUUCUUUUCUUGUCUUAGCCAUUUCUCUUGCUUCUGCUUGCCCUCUUAGUGUAAUGUACACUGCUAGUUAUUAGUUCGGGCAGUGGUUAAUGAUAUGUUUACAAUUUUUCUGAAAUGUAUUGAAAUGUUGGUAUCUACCUGUAUUUGAGGGUAACCAAAAUUUUCAUGUCAUGGGCAAUACUGUUAUAUAGAGUUCUGGACUAGACAGCUCUGUAGACAGUCAAGGAGUUAACUGGAACAAUUGAGGAGAGGAAUUCCAGCAUUUGCACUUCUAUUACCCACAUAUUUUUUUUUGCUUAAACUAUUUGACCUGCUUAUAGCUUACAAACUGUUGGUUUCUAUUGUUGUCAUUUCACAGGUUUCAGUUUAAGGACAACAGGAAGACAACAAUGGUCCCUGUUUUCCAGAGCCUGGAAACAAUAUCUGGAGAAGUAUCAAUAGCACCAGUCCCAGAUAAAAGGAUUGAACACAUGGAUGUUAAGAUCGAGUUGCUGGGCCAGAUAGGUGGGAAGACUGAAACUAGAGAAGACCAUUCUUAGACAAGCAAAAACUUAGUUGAAUCAUACUCAGAUUUGGUUGUGAUGUCUAUAUACUGAGUAGGAGUGUGUAAAUAGAUAAAGUAGCCAGAAGCUAGCUUAUCUGGUGUUGUUUAUUGGUUCAUGUGGAUAGCAAUGUCUGUACAUUGUUUUUUAGAUACAUUUAGUCAAUCCAUUGCUUGCUGCCCGACCUUGUAGUGGUCUAGAACUAGUUAAUCUCACUGUAUGUAAAGUAUGUAAUGGAUGAAAUCUGUUUACUUGUGAUGUACAUAUGAUGUAUAAAACAUGUGUAUUUGUGAUGUAUAUGAUGGAUAAUCCAUUGCUUGCUGCUCGA